AAUGGUUGGCUGUGGUAACAAAUUUGCAAGAAUGUUGACACAUGCUAAAGAGAGGAAAAGGGGGCAGAGUUUCUCCAUAGCAGCAACGUAAUCGAAACUGGGAAUUGUCUUUAAAAUACAUGGGUCUCUCUUUCUGCAUUUCCCAAUUACUCAACUUAUUAAAAUGACAUCAUAAUUUCUAACCCGCUUCUUACACACCAAUCUAAUUCUGUUCCGCACCUGCAGGAAAAC